rnacentral:lncRNA from 1 species
CUAGUACACUUUCAAGCAGAGGGGUAAUCCACACUCUAAUAAAGAAAAAACUAGCUCUGAUAUCUGAGGUGAGUGUAGUCUCGAUAAACUAUCACGGACACAGAAUACAGACUUGAUAUCUACCAUGAAGUUCAAGAAGAACUGGCAAGAACUAGAUUAAUCAGAUGAAUACAAGAACAACGCCAGAGAGAUGAGCUAGAGCUCCAAG